GGGUUUAGCAAAGCGUUUCUUACAGAGUUUAUUGGCAUUCUGUCCACCUCCUCUCUUUUUCACUCCCUGUGUAUUAGAAGAUAGUACGUGUGGAGGUGGGCAUACUGCCAACUGAGCUCUGUUGGCUUCUCUUUGUAAAACCCU
rnacentral:pre_miRNA from 1 species